AUGCAAGUCGAACGGAAAUCUUUUAGAGAAAUCUUUUAGAUUUUAGUGGCGAACGGGUGAGUAACACGUAAGCAACCUGCCUUUAAGACGAGAAUAACAAUUGGAAACAGUUGCUAAGGCUGGAUAGGAAAUAAAAAGGCAUCUUUUUAUUUUUAAAAGACCUUCUUCGGAGGGUAUGCUUAAAGAGGGGCUUGCGUCACAUUAGUUAGUUGGUAGGGUAAUGGCCUACCAAGACGAUGAUGUGUAGCUGGACUGAGAGGUUGAACAGCCACAUUGGGACUGAGACACGGCCCAAACUCCUACGGGAGGCAGCAGUAGGGAAUUUUCGGCAAUGGAGGAAACUCUGACCGAGCAACGCCGCGUGAACGACGAAGUACUUCGGUAUGUAAAGUUCUUUUAUUGAAGAAGAAACAAUAGUGGAAAAACUAUCUUGACGUUAUUCAAUGAAUAAGCCCCGGCUAACUAUGUGCCAGCAGCCGCGGUAAUACAUAGGGGGCGAGCGUUAUCCGGGAAUUAUUGGGCGUAAAGGGUGCGUAGGCGGUUUAAUAAGUCUCUAGUUUAAUUUCAACGCUUAACGUUGUCCUGCUAGAGAAACUGUUUGACUAGAGUGAGAUAGAGGUAAGCGGAAUUCCAUGUGUAGCGGUAAAAUGUGUAAAUAUAUGGAGGAACACCAGAGGCGUAGGCGGCUUACUGGGUCUUUACUGACGCUGAUGCACGAAAGCGUGGGGGAGCAAACAGGAUUAGAUACCCUGGUAGUCCACGCCGUAAACUAUGAGUACUAAGUGUCGGGGUUAAACUCGGUACUGAAGUUAACACAUUAAGUACUCCGCCUGAGUAGUACGUACGCAAGUAUGAAACUUAAAGGAAUUGACGGGAUCCCGCACAAGCGGUGGAUCAUGUUGUUUAAUUCGAAGAUACACGAAAAACCUUACCGGGUCUUGACAUACUCUGCAAAACUAUAGAAAUAUAGUGGAGGUUAUCAGGGAUACAGGUGGUGCAUGGUUGUCGUCAGCUCGUGUCGUGAGGUGUUAGGUUAAGUUCUAAAACGAGCGCAACCCCUGUCGUUAAUUGCCAGCACGUUAUGGUGGGGACUUUAGCGAGACUGCCAAUGAAAAAUUGGAGGAAGGUGGGGAUUACGUCAAAUCAUCAUGCCCCUUAUGAUCUGGGCUACAAACGUGAUACAAUGGCUAUUACAAAGAGUAGCUUAAACGCGAGUUUUUGGCAAAUCUCAAAAAAAUAGUCUUAGUUCGGAUUGAAGUCUGCAACUCGACUUCAUGAAGUUGGAAUCGCUAGUAAUCGCGAAUCAGCAUGUCGCGGUGAAUACGUUCUCGGGGUUUGUACACACCGCCCGUCAAACCACGAAAGUGGACAAUACCCGAAAGCGAUAGCCUAACUGCGCAAGCAGAGGGAAUCGUCUAAGGUAGGGUCGAUGAUUGGGGUUAAG
rnacentral:rRNA from 1 species